UCUUCCACAAUGGACGAAAGUCUGAUGGAGCAAAGCCGCGUGAGCGAAGAUGGUUUUCGGAUCGUAAAGCUCUGUCUCGAGGGAAGAACAAGUACGGGAGUAACUGACCGUACCUUGACGGUACCUCGUCAGAAAGCCACGGCUAACUACGUGCCAGCAGCCGCGGUAAUACGUAGGUGGCAAGCGUUGUCCGGAAUUAUUGGGCGUAAAGCGGGCGCAGGCGGUCCUUUAAGUCUGGUGUGGAAGCCCACGGCUCAAACGUGGGGGGUCCUUGGAAACUGGAGGACUUGAGUACAGAAGAGGAAAGCGGAGUUCCACGUGUAGCGGUGAAAUGCGUAGAGAUGUGGAGGAACACCAGUGGCGAAGGCGGCUUUCUGGUCUGUAACUGACGCUGAGGCGCGAAAGCGUGGGGAGCAAACA
rnacentral:rRNA from 1 species